ACUGGAUUCAGAAAAGCCUAGCAGAUUAGUAGAGCACAUGCCUGUGUAUGUCUGUACUUUGACAUGGAAAAUGAAUGGAGUCACGUGAAAACAACGACAAAAAAAAUUCUAAAAGCAUAUAUCUCACAGGAUUCAGAGUGGCUCAGGAUGUAUACAAAGUAAGCACCCUGGCUUCCU